CCUACGGGAGGCAGCAGUAGGGAAUCUUUCACAAUGGGCGAAAGCCUGAUGGAGCAACGCCGCGUGCAGGAUGAAGGCCUUCGGGUUGUAAACUGCUUUUAUAAGCGAGAAAUAUGAUGGUAACUUAUGAAUAAGGAUCGGCUAACUACGUGCCAGCAGCCGCGGUCAUACGUAGGAUCCGAGCAUUAUCCGGAGUGACUGGGUGUAAAGAGUUGCGUAGGUGGCAUAAUAAGUAGCUAGUGAAAUCUGGUGGCUCAACCAUUCAGACUAUUAGCUAAACUGUUAAGCUCGAGACCGUUAGGGGUAACUGGAAUUUCUGGUGUAGGAGUGAAAUCCGUAGAUAUUAGAAGGAACACCAAUAGCGUAGGCAGGUUGCUGGGACGGGUCUGACACUAAGGCACGAAAGCGUAGGGAGCAAACGGGAUUAGAUACCCGAGUAGUC
rnacentral:rRNA from 1 species